UGAGUACGAGAUGCUACGGCAUCGAAGCAGUCUAUGUCAUACUUCCAAGAAAAGCUUGCAAUGUCAUAAACAAAUAAUGCCUGUACCAUAACCGACACAGGUGGGUAGGUAGAGUAUACUAAGGGGCGCGAGAUAACUCUCUCUAAGGAACUCGGCAAAAUGACUCCGUAACUUCGGGAGAAGGAGUGCCUUAUUUUUAUAAGGUUGCAAUAACAAGAUCCAAGCAACUGUUUACCAAAAACACAGGUCUCCGCUAAGUCGUAAGACGAUGUAUGGGGGCUGACGCCUGCCCAGUGCCAGAAGGUUAAAGAAGUUGGUUAGCAUUAGCGAAGCUGAUAACUGAAGCCCUGGUGAACGGCGGCCGUAACGAUAACGGUCCUAAGGUAGCGAAAUUCCUUGUCGGGUAAGUUCCGACCCGCACGAAAGGCGUAAUGAUUUGGAUACUGUCUCGGAGAGGGGCUCGGUGAAAUAGACUUGUCUGUGAAGAUGCGGACUACCUGCACCUGGACAGAAAGACCCUAUGAAGCUUUACUGUAACUUGAGAUUGAAAUUGGACUUUAUCUGCGCAGUAUAGGUGGGAGACGUUGAAAAUAUUCUUGCGGGAAUAUUGGAGUCAUCAGUGAGAUACCACUCUUAUAAUGUUAGAUUUCUAACUUUGUAUCAUUAUCUGGUCAAAGAACAGUUUCAGGCGGGCAGUUUGACUGGGGCGGUCGCCUCCCAAACGGUAACGGAGGCGCACAAAGGUUUCCUCUGAACGUGUAGAAAUCGUAUCUAGAGUGUAAAGGCAUAAGGAAGCUUGACUGUGAGACCUACAAGUCGAGCAGGGACGAAAGUCGGUCUUAGUGAUCUGACGGUGCUGAGUGGAAAGGCCGUCACUCAACGGAUAAAAGUUACUCUAGGAUAACAGGCUGAUCUCCCCCAAGAGUUCACAUCGACGGGGAGGUUUGGCACCUCGAUGUCGGCUCAUCGCAUCCUGGGGCGGUAGUACGUCCCAAGGGUUGGGCUGUUCGCCCAUGAAAGCGGUACGCGAGCUGGGUUCAGAACGUCGUGAGACAGUUCGGUCCAUAUCCGGUGUAGGCGUUGGAAUAUUGAGAGGAGCCUUCUUUAGUACGAGAGGACCGAGAAGGACAUACCUCUGGUGUACCAGUUAUCGUGCCAACGGUAAACGCUGGGUAGCCAUGUAUGGAGAGGAUAACCGCUGAAAGCAUCUAAGUGGGAAGCCCACCUCAAGAUAAG
rnacentral:rRNA from 1 species